rnacentral:lncRNA from 1 species
AUUAGCCCUCAGCUAACUACUGCCAGUCCUCCUCUUUUUGCUGAGGAAGCCUGGCUCUGAGCUACCUUCCGUGCCCAUCUUCCUCUAGUUUAUACGUGGGACGCCUACCACAGCAUGGCAUGCCAAGCAGUGCCAUGUCCGCACCCGGGAUCUGAACCAGCGAACCCGGGGCUGCAGAGAAGCGGAACGUGCGAACUUAACCGCUGCGUCACCGGGCCGGCCCCUGAAUACAUUCUUUCUUGCUCCAGAGUUAUAUGAUGUCAAUCAUAGGAGUUGACAUGUGGCCAACUGUGGCAUCCUAGCCCAGCUUAACAGCUAAAGAAGUCCUGAAGAAGAAAAUGCAUCUCACAAUAAGAUGAAACUAAAGAUGAAAGAGAGUGAUUUUUCUAACCCCUGUUUGAGCGAAGACUCCCCCACAACCUAAAAGAUCAAUCAUAUGGAAAACAGAAAGUUUUUCAGCACAAGGAUGACUUCUCAAUAGAGAAUGAAGAAAAAGUGCAGGAGAAGGAGACAUGUCCACCGUGCGAUGAAUGGAUUCUCAAGAAAAAAUAUAAAGUGCCUAGAAGAUAUUGC